rnacentral:rRNA from 1 species
GAUGAACGCUAGCUAUAGGCUUAACACAUGCAAGUCGAACGAGACCUUCGGGUCUAGUGGCGCACGGGUGCGUAACGCGUGGGAAUCUGCCCUUGGGUUCGGAAUAACUCGCCGAAAGGCGUGCUAAUACCGGAUGAUGUCGUAAGACCAAAGAUUUAUCGCCCAGGGAUGAGCCCGCGUAAGAUUAGGUAGUUGGUGAGGUAAAGGCUCACCAAGCCGACGAUCUUUAGCUGGUCUGAGAGGAUGAUCAGCCACACUGGGACUGAGACACGGCCCAG